UGCAACUAAAGCCGAAUCCCGGACAUUUUCGCAAAUUUAGAAAUCCCGGCCGGACGCUUUUUUAAGGUCCGAAAAAGAGGACUUGUCCAGGAAAAAGAGGACGUAUAGUCACCCUACUUAAUUUAUGAGCAAAUUAGUCAUCAAAGCAGUUCCAUGUUUUGUUAAUAAAGAAGCCGCGGCUGCAGGAUUACAUUUUAUAUAACUUUAAUAAUACUACACAUAAAUUGCUAAAUCAGCCACUGCCAUAAUCAAACAUGGACUAGUUGAGGAUACAAUUGAAGCAUACGAAGUUAAAUGAAGACAAAACUUUAGAGGCUCAGAAGAAAGAGAUCCAAGCAAAGGAAAGGUUGCCUGGCCAAGAAAGUGUGCAUCAUCUGUGUGAUCAUGACAUCAUCUGGAGAUUCUCUAGAUUUACUGGAAGGAGGGACAAAAGAAAUACUACAAAUGAACAUGACAUCAACUCAAGAUUGGCAGCAUACCCCAAAAUGCUACAGAACUUGACAGGUUUUUUUUUUUUUUAGCCCUAGAAAAAAAUAAAAAUAAAUUAAACAACAGUAAAAACCACAGCAUUGCACUGGAAUAAGAAACUGAACAUGCAAUGAUUUAUUCCAUAAGUUUGUUUUUAAGUACCUGUAUUUUGUAUGAAAGUUUGUUUGCAUCAAAUUUCAUUAACACCUUCUGAAGAAACUCAAAGGUGUUCUUGAGAUCAGAUGGAUAGCUCAGAUUCAAGCUAUAUAUUACUGCCAAGAGCAGAGCACAAGCCUUGGUGACAUCUCUAAGCUCCUGAAGCACUUUCACUCCUUCAACAAUGAUCCCAACAUCCAAUGGUGGUUCUUCAGGUCCUGCACCUUCAGCUCGGACAAUGAAAAUUCCAAUGACUAUUAGCCAUGUCUCUCUCAGAUUUCACAAAGUACACAAGCUAUUUGGUUUUCUACAUCAGUUUAUUAUUAUUAUUAUUAUUAUUAUUAUUGGUAUUUGUCAGUAUUUGUCAGGAUGUCAAAGGAUUUCAAAAUAUUAAUACCUUACAAAAUAAUCUCUUCAAUCUGGUUCAUCUGCCUUACACAGCUCAUCUACAAUGAAAGAACACAUAUAUUGUAAUAGAAAAGCAGAGCCAGACUAUGACAUAAGCUUACAUCCUGAAGUAAUAAAACUAUAUAGUGUACUACAUAUACUUUUAUUGGCAGUAUUCUUCAGGAUGGCAAAUUAUUUAAACAAAAUAUUCAUACCUUACAAAGUCGCCAGUAUAAUCUCUUCAAUGUGCUUCGCGCUGCUGCAUUUACAUAUGGUGUGCGCAAAGGGACAUCCCGUUUUGGUUUUCUUGUAUUUGUGCAUUUCACUAAACAAUGAUUUGUUGACUGAACAAAAACGCCUAAAGUAAAGGUGACAAGACACGUUUUUUGUUGAAAUAACUAAGUUAAACACAUUUUAUGCAGUUGCUUGUGUUUGUUUAGUAAUGUGAACAAGAAAUUAUUCAGUAAAACUGACUCCAGCUAAGUUCAUUUUUUUGAGUGUAUUAUGUC